rnacentral:misc_RNA from 1 species
AACGCAAAUUGCACUCUCUGGUAACCCGGGGAGUAUGCCUGUUUGAGGGUCAGUGUUAAUAAAAAUCGGUGCGUUGCAAUUUUUGUGAUGUUCCGGAGUUUGAGUUAUCUUAUCUUCUGGGUUUAAGAGGCUUAAAAUUGACCUUCUUUGUGCAUUUUAGACGUACAUAAAUUUUUUUUUAUUCGUUUAUCUUAAUGCCAAAAUCUAUUAGAUGCGACCAUAUCGUGUGGUUCCGUGUCUAUAAAUUUUUCAUGAAUUGACCUCAAAUCAGGUAGGAACACCCGCUGAACUUAA